rnacentral:rRNA from 1 species
AUGUCGGCGGCCACCGGCGAGGAGGUUCCACCGAAGGGCAAAAGGAAGCUGGCGGCGUUCGAGGAGAAGCCGCGCUGGCAUUGGGCGGAUCCACUCCCGAAGCCCGGUACCACGACUGAAGACGCAGAGCUGCGGAAGAGGAUCAAGGCGGCGCUGUUGGGCUUCCCGGAGUCUGGCGCGUUGAGCGCGGAGCAGAUGGAGCUAGCGAUUGACAGGAUCAUCAAGGAGUCCAAGCCCGAGACCAAGUCUGUGGCGGCCCCAGGCAUGGUUCGGUUACGGAAUGAACAGAUCCGUCUCUGGUUGAUGUUGAAGAACCCCACCGGCGACGAUAUCCUCGGCGUUGAAGCUGGUGGGGUGUUCCCGCCAGGUUGGAUCCAGCAGAGAGCUCUCAUGCUAGACGCGCGAUGCCAGCGCAAGACGAAGGACGACGAACUAAUCUUGGUGGACAAGAUCCGCAUCGAUGUGAUCACGAAGGGCUACGCUGAGUUCCGGGAGGAGUACGUGAGCCCUGACUCGGACCCGGACGAGGAAUGCUACGUAUCUGAGGAGGAGGUGACUUCUGUCCUCCGGGAGGAGUAA